rnacentral:rRNA from 1 species
AUUGAACGCUGGCGGCAGGCCUAACACAUGCAAGUCGAACGAGUGGCGGACGGGUGAGUAACACGUGGGAACCUGCCCAUCAGAAGGGGAUAACACUUGGAAACAGGUGCUAAUACCGCAUACCAUCGGAUGUGCCCAGAUGGGAUUAGCUAGUAGGUGGGGUAAAGGCUCACCUAGGCGACGAUCCCUAGCUGGUCUGAGAGGAUGACCAGCCACACUGGAACUGAGACACGGUCCAGACUCCUACGGGAGGCAGCAGUGGGGAAUAUUGCACAAUGGGCGCAAGCCUGAUGCAGCCAUGCCGCGUGUAUGAAGAAGGCCUUCGGGUUGUAAAGUACUUUCAGCGGGGAGGCGUUACCAACAGAAUAAGCACCGGCUAACUUCGUGCCAGCAGCCGCGGUAAUAC